rnacentral:lncRNA from 1 species
UUCCCUGUCCUCUGUGCCUCCAUUGAUUUCUCAGACAAAGCCCCUACAAUAAUAAUUCAAUAAAAUUCAGAUAACAAAAAAGGUCUUUUAACUUUUCAGUCAUGUUAUAUUACUCACAAUGAUAGACAAAUAAAUAUACUGAGCCAUGUCAAAUACAAUGUCAAGGUCCAUCAAAAGAUAAGUUACUAAGGAUUCAAAUUGUUCAGGUAUUAGAGAAUUGAAUUACAGCAGAUGUCAGAUCCUGUAGAU